CAACCAGAAGAGGUAGCAAUGGCUCCCGUCCUCGCCCUGACGCUGCUGCUUUUGCAGGCCGCAAGCUCACAAGAAGUGACAUCCCGGUCCUCUCGCUUCUCAUCUCAAUCAC
rnacentral:ribozyme from 1 species